rnacentral:lncRNA from 1 species
GGGGCCCUGGAGCGUGGGCGCGAGCUCCGGCCGUCGGUCCCUGGCGCAGGGCGAGCGCAGCGGUGUCAGCCCCGGCCCCAGUCCGGGUCCCAUUCACAAGUCGGCGGCGGCUGCAAGCGGCCCCCGCGGCAUCUGCUAGCGACGCUCCCCUCGGCUGGCGGUGGCCGCGGAAUGAGCCGCCGAGCGCGCUAGUGGCAGGAAUGAGAAACCGGGGGGAGGUGGCGGGCUGGCGGGCGGGCGGGCGGGCGGGGGCGGGCGGGGGGGGGGGGGGGGGAGGAGGAGGAGGGAGGCAGCCGUUGGGAGGGAAGGAAAGGGCGGGGGACGGAGAGGAGCCGAGGCCGCGAGACGCGGCGAGCUGGGCCUCGCAGAGGCUGCGGGGGACGACCCUGUCCACGCCCCUCCCCCUAGGGGCCCCGAGAUGCCAACCCCUGGAUUCGUGGCCGCCCCUCCCGCCUGGGUCGCUGCACUCCGGCUCCCUUGGGGCUCAGACAGAGUCUAGAGCGACUGAAGUUGGGCUCCAGAGACGCACAGCCAAUCAGGGAGGGCGGCGGAGGGAAGCUGGGCAAGGAUGGGAGCCCCUUUUUCCUCCUUCACCCAAAUCCGCUCCAGCUGGUCGGGCUGGGCCCUUGCCCGGGAGGCCUGGAUGGUGGGCUGGGGGAAAGCAUCGUCCAAGCGGGGGAGGCAAUAGCGAAUUGUUCUACCUUCCGAAAAUCGCUCCACGUCGGCGGGUCCCCUCCCCCAUCCCUUGCAAACUCUGCUUGGGGCGCGGGCGAUGAAACCUGGGGGAGGGAGACUUCGGACUUGGGAAAAGCCACGUCUCCGUUCUCUACAAUUCUCCCCCACCCCCUCCUCCGAUGCCUCAUGUCUGGAGGGGGGGGCACGAGGAACGCUCCGCCAGGGUCGGCCUCAUGCGUCCCUCGGAUGCCUAGGCUUCCGCCUCCCGCAGGCCAUCCCUUUUGUGAAUGACAGCAUCAGCGGAUUUUAAAAAAGAGGAUUGGGGAGAAGAAAAGAGACGGAAGAAGAGGAGAGGAGAAAAAAGGAAAUUGAAGCAGAGAAGUAACAUAUAAUAAUCCUAGGCUUAAGCUAGAUUUAUUUUGGGGAAAGAUGAUUGUUCCUGAAAUGUUCUAAUUUCUUGUGUAUCUAGCUAUCCACUGCUGAUUGUAAGGAUUGCAAUCGUCAAUGACAGAUUUGCUUGCUUGGUUCUUUCUCUGAUGAAUCCAUUUAAUUCUGUGGCCACUGUGCCUUUCAUAGGAAGAGCUGCCUCACAGUCACAUGAGAAUAGAUCAAUUUUUGUUUGGCUCAUACGCAUCUUCUCAAAAUGAAUUAAGUAGAGUAAGUAGAAGAACUUUAAUAGGAUUGGAAGAUCAAAGAUGGUGAGAAGAUUUAAGUAUAUCGUCAGUACAUCAAGAAUAAUAAAAUUAAAUGUGUCUGAAAACAGAUGAUUCUAAGCAAUUUUGAUAGAGAUAGUCUCUUCCUCUCAAGUAACUUAAAAACCCUAAUUGGAUGAGCUGAUUUGGACAGUCAUCCCAGCCCCAGUGAAAUAAAUGUAUGGAAAGUAUAUAAAAAAUCCUUGUGCCUAUUUUGUUAUAUUGAAGUUCUCUUCAUGUGUCGUAUAUUCUCCAGCCAUCUUUCAAGAUCUACUACCGCUAAGAAGUCUUUGUACAUUUCUCUGAUUGCUGGGGUUCGCUCUAAAGCUCCUACAGAAGUUCUCCUCUGCAUCUCAAGAUUAGAUUUGGAAUCAUGUGCUGUCUUGUACUACUGGGUUUUUUUUCCCUUUUGCAUUUACUUUCCUUUCUCACGUAGGUGGAAGGAAACGCACAUGGCAAAUUCCAGCGUUACUAGGGAAAUGCUGACUGGAGGCCCUCCAGUGACGUUACAGGGUAAUCUAAUUUUGCAUUCUUCGAAUUCAGUGUAUUGUGAUCUUCAGCUUCUCACUUCCAAGAAUUCAGUCCCAGAAAUGAUGAUCGAUUAGGACAUUUAUUGUGUUUUCCUAACACUUGAGUUAUCUCAAUGUUAAAUGGAGGCAAUCUGGACAAAGCAGAAGCUCACAGUCCCAACUACUUGUAAGGGAAUGAAGACAACUUCAUUCACCAGAAUUUCUCCUAAGUGGAGCCCCAUAUGUGUUUCAAAGAAAUGAAUAAUACGUGGAAGGGAUGGUGAGUGGCAAGAAAAUACUCAAGUGGAGAAAGAUGGCACCUAAAUUGCCUUCUCAAGGACACCACAGCUCCAGGAGAAUGUUUGGCUUUGACUGAGCACCUUGAAUGGUUGAGAGUUGAAAAACUGGGAGUCAGAGCCAAGGCAGAUCUAAGUUGUACUGGGCUGCUGUAUCAUACAACUUCAGGUGCUUCCACUGGCAUCUGAGCUAGGAGCUGACUGUGGAGAAGAGGAGUGUCUAAGGGAGAUUUUGUUUUUCACAUAAAUGCAAUAUCAGUUCUCCUCUUUAUUCUCCUCCCAAACACCAUCACAAAGGCAUAACAAAAUAUAUAUUGUGUGUUGGAG